GCGAAUGGCUCAUUAAAUCAGUUAUCGUUUAUUUGAUAGUACCUUACUACUUGGAUAACCGUGGUAAUUCUAGAGCUAAUACAUGCUAAAAACCCCGACUUCGGGAGGGGUGUAUUUAUUAGAUAAAAAACCAAUGCCCUUCGGGGCUCCGUGGUGAUUCAUAAUAACUAAACGAAUCGCAUGGCCUUGUGCCGGCGAUGGUUCAUUCAAAUUUCUGCCCUAUCAACUUUCGAUGGUAGGAUAGUGGCCUACCAUGGUUUCAACGGGUAACGGGGAAUUAGGGUUCGAUUCCGGAGAGGGAGCCUGAGAAACGGCUACCACAUCCAAGGAAGGCAGCAGGCGCGCAAAUUACCCAAUCCCGACACGGGGAGGUAGUGACAAUAAAUACUGAUACAGGGCUCUUUUGGGUCUUGUAAUUGGAAUGAGUACAAUUUAAAUCCCUUAACGAGGAACAAUUGGAGGGCAAGUCUGGUGCCAGCAGCCGCGGUAAUUCCAGCUCCAAUAGCGUAUAUUAAAGUUGUUGCAGUUAAAAAGCUCGUAGUUGAACCUUGGGCCUGGCUGGCCGGUCCGCCUCACCGCGUGCACUGGUCCGGCCGGGCCUUUCCUUCUGGGGAAUCGCAUGCCCUUUACUGGGUGUGUCGGGGAACCAGGACUUUUACUUUGAAAAAAUUAGAGUGUUCAAAGCAGGCCUAUGCUCGAAUACAUUAGCAUGGAAUAAUAGAAUAGGACGUGUGGUUCUAUUUUGUUGGUUUCUAGGACCGCCGUAAUGAUUAAUAGGGAUAGUCGGGGGCAUCAGUAUUCAAUUGUCAGAGGUGAAAUUCUUGGAUUUAUUGAAGACUAACUACUGCGAAAGCAUUUGCCAAGGAUGUUUUCAUUAAUCAGUGAACGAAAGUUAGGGGAUCGAAGACGAUCAGAUACCGUCGUAGUCUUAACCAUAAACUAUGCCGACUAGGGAUCGGGCGAUGUUAUCUUUUUGACUCGCUCGGCACCUUACGAGAA
rnacentral:rRNA from 1 species